UACGGAGGGUGCAAGCGUUGUCCGGAUUUAUUGGGUUUAAAGGGUGUGUAGGCGGGCUUUUAAGUCAGCGGUGAAAUCUCCGGGCUCAACCCGGAAACUGCCAUUGAUACUAUUAGUCUUGAAUUUUGUUGAGGUAGGCGGAAUAAGUCAUGUAGCGGUGAAAUGCAUAGAUAUGACUUAGAACACCAAUUGCGAAGGCAGCUUGCUAAACAAAUAUUGACGCUGAGGCACGAAAGCGUGGGGAUCAAACAGG
rnacentral:rRNA from 1 species